rnacentral:rRNA from 1 species
AUUGAACGCUGGCGGAAUGCUUUACACAUGCAAGUCGAACGGCAGCAUAGGUGCUUGCACCUGAUGGCGAGUGGCGAACGGGUGAGUAAUACAUCGGAACGUGCCCAGUCGUGGGGGAUAACGUAGCGAAAGUUACGCUAAUACCGCAUACGAUCUAAGGAUGAAAGCGGGGGACCGUAAGGCCUCGCGCGAUUGGAGCGGCCGAUGUCAGGUUAGGUAGUUGGUGAGGUAAAGGCUCACCAAGCCGACGAUCUGUAGCUGGUCUGAGAGGACGACCAGCCACACUGGGACUGAGACAUGGCCCAGACUCCUACGGGAGGCAGCAGUGGGGAAUUUUGGACAAUGGACGCAAGUCUGAUCCAGCCAUUCCGCGUGCAGGACGAAGGCCUUCGGGUUGUAAACUGCUUUUGUACGGAACGAAAAAGCUCUUACUAAUACUAGGAGUCCAUGACGGUACCGUAAGAAUAAGCACCGGCUAACUACGUGCCAGCAGCCGCUGUAA